UUGCUUCAGCAGCACACAUACUAAAAUCAGAACACUACAGAGAAGAUUACCACGGCCCCUGAGCAGUGAUGACACGCAGAUUCAUGAAGCAUUCCACGUUUGU
ensembl:snRNA U6 U6 spliceosomal RNA